GACGAACGCUGGCGGCGUGCUUAACACAUGCAAGUCGAACGAUGAAGCUAGAGCUUGCUCUGGUGGAUUAGUGGCGAACGGGUGAGUAACACGUGAGUAACCUGCCCCGAACUCUGGGAUAACUGCUGGAAACGGUAGCUAAUACCGGAUAUGACCAAUGAAGGCAUCUUCUGUUGGUGGAAAGAAUUUCGGUUCGGGAUGGACUCGCGGCCUAUCAGCUUGUUGGUGAGGUAACGACUCACCAAGGCGACGACGGGUAGCCGGCCUGAGAGGGUGAUCGGCCACACUGGAACUGAGACACGGCCCAGACUCCUACGGGAGGCAGCAGUGGGGAAUAUUGCACAAUGGGCGCAAGCCUGAUGCAGCAACGCCGCGUGAGGGACGACGGCCUUCGGGUUGUAAACCUCUUUUAGUAGGGAAGAGGCGAAAGUGACGGUACCUGCAGAAAAAGCACCGGCUAACUACGUGCCAGCAGCCGCGGUAA
rnacentral:rRNA from 1 species